UAGUCAUCAAGAGUUCAUAUAACUAGACCUGUCUUGGAGCAAUUUUUAUCUUUUGCAAAAUACCUUGAUGGUUUAUCUCAUGGAGUACCUUUGCUGAAGCAGCUUUGUGAUCAUAUUUUGUUUAUUAACCCAGCCAUCUGGAUACAUACACCUGCAAAGACGGAGUUUCACUCUCAUUGCCCAGGCUGGAGAGCAAUGGCGCGAUCUCGGCUCACCGCAAUCUCCGCCUCCCUGGUUCAGCCCAUUCUCCUCCGUCAGCCUCCCGAGUAGCUGGGAUUACAGGUUCAACUUUCCCUAUAUACAUAUUUGUCUGCUGAAUUUAUUGGAACUGCUACCAUCUACACCACCAUAUGCAGAAUAGGAACAGUUAUUAAAGAUAAUGCACACCUUAAAAUAUUACUACUGGGUUAUUAAUCCUGCUGACAGUAGUGGCAUUACACCUAAAGGAUUAGGACCUUGACAUUUUUGAAGAAUACAGACCAGUUAUUUUUUCGAAUACCCUUAAAUUUGAAUUUUCUAUUUGUUCAUGAUGAUGCAGGUUUUUCAUUUUUACAAGAAAUAACACAGAAGUCAUAUUGUCUGUCUCCUUGUAUUAUGUCAAGGAGACACAUGAUGUUGAGUUGUGCUUUUACAAGUGAUGUCAACUUUAAACAUUUGAUUAAGGUAUUAUCUUCCAGGUUUCUUCAUUAUAAAAAUCACUUCUUUCUCUUUGGUAGUUAAGAAGUAUUUGAUGGAGAAAUACAUUGAAACUAUAUAAAUAUCCUGUUCCUCAACAAAGUUUCACCUGCCUGUUUUAGUGUGCUGAUGAUUCUUACUAAAAAUUAUCUUUAUUAUGAUGACUGACAAAUGAUGUUUUCUAAGACAUUGAUUAAGUUGGCAUAUCUACUGUAAGGAAGAACUUGUUUUACUACUCCACUCUAUCUGUCUAUCUAUAUCUAUCUAUCGAUCUGUCUGUUUAUUGAUCUAUCUGUCUAUCAUCUUUUAUAUCAGUAUGGACUCAUGUAUUCAAUGUGUUAUAUCAACAGUUGGCAUACUUUCUUUGCAAAGGGCCAGGUAGUGUUUUAGGCUUACGGAGCCAUAAGGUCUCUGUUGCACAUAGUCAGCUCUGACAUUGUAUUGCAGAAAUAACCACAGACUGUAUGUAAAUGAAUAGGUGUGGCUUGUUCUAGUGAAACGUACAAAAACAAGUGGCCUGAUUGGUUUAGUCCUAGGGCUGUGGUUUAUCUGUCUCCUGGGUUGUAUCAUUAUUUUGAUGCUCGAGAUUUGGCCAGUAGGACCCUUCACAUGGAUUAUGGGACAAAUGCCCAUAAGUUUAUAAUACUUUCUUACUUUCUGAAACAAGAUGUUUUUGACUUUUCUUACACUUUCCUUAUCCCAGCCCUGAAAUUAGCCAUUUUUCCAAGAAGCCCUGGUUUGCUUGGUGGAUAUGGUUUUUAGAAACCAAGAUCUGGAUGUGAGGUGUGCUUCUUGGUUUUUGAAUGUCAUUGCUUCUACAUUCUCUUAGUGGACAGAUCUAGGAAAUGAUGUUUGAAUCUAUGUAUAUAGGUACAUCUCAACUGAUUUAUCUAUAUUAAAACCAUGAGUUCACAGCAGUACCUUCAAUUCCAGUCACAUGGCUCGACCUAGCCUCAAACUUCUUAAAUGUGUAGCUUUCUUCUUCAAUAGUGAGAAGUCUUGCUCCUAUUGUCUUUAAUAUAUUUAUAUGUUUUCUUAUUCUACUUUACAAAACCAAUAUUUUGAUACACAUGCCAUAACCUUCUCAGCUUUAACAUUGCUAGUCAUCUCUAAUCAUACCCUCAGAUUUGACUCUGAAUGGUCCUUGUUGUCUCUUCAGCCCCAGUUGUUUCUUUGGCACUGGCCAUCCUCCUGACCUCUACUGUCUCCUUGGCCCUCACCCUGAAAGUCCUUCCAGACUCACUUGCCUCUGGCUCUAUAAGAUCCUGGGUAUCACCAGGGCCUCUGCUCCCUCCAUAGAACCCGUGUCCCUGAGGCCUCACUGGCUCUAGCUACAUCAAAGAGAGGGAAAGGAAGAGAACCAGUAGUACAUAUAUUUUAAGUGAAAGUGACAGGAAAGUGGAAUGAGCACUUAUUUUUCUUUAUCAUUUAAAUUAUUACUUUAACAUUUUAAUACUUUGAAAUUAAUUUUGUUAUAUAGUAGAAUGUAAGGUUCUGACUUGAAGUGUAUCAUUUUCUAAAUGACAGCAUUUUUCAAUACCAUUUUAAACAAAUGCUUUCUUUUAAGGACACUCUAAAGAUAAUGUGCACUACACUAGUUUUCGUAGAACUGUUCAUGUGUAGGCACUCACCUUGAGAAGUAGGAUUUUUUUUUUACUUAACGCUUUUGUCUCAAAUUAUUAUUAUAUAUAGUUAACUGUAAAAACAUUGAGAUAUAUUAAAAAUAUUAUAGGACAGGUAAUACAUAUUCAUGGUAGCAAGUGAAAUAAUACAAAGGUUUAUGAAUAAAAAGUUACUACUCUCCUAGGUAGCCAAUGUUACCAGUCUUGCAUAUCCUUCUGCUGCUUUUUCUCUGCUCAUACAAACAUGAACUUACUCAUGCAUACACAUAGGUGUUUCAAAGUUUUAUUCUGAAUACAUCACGAACACAAAGUGGUAUAAUUACAUAUAUCAAUGUAAUAUAUAAACAUGUUAUAAAUAUGAAUAUAAAUGUAAAAUGAACCCUAUUUAAACAUCAGUAAGCCUAAGACACAGAACAUUACCAAUGAGCCUGAAUAUUCUCAUGCGUGGCCACAUCUCUUUUCUAUUCCCCGUCAUAGAAAUCACUCCAUCCCAAAUUUUACGUUAUUUCUUUUCUUUACUUGGGUGCUUAUUAUUUUUUACUAUGCUUUACUCUUUUGCUAUUUAUGUAUGUAUUAUUAAUUUAUUGUUUAGCUUCUAUAUUUUACAUAAAUAGUAUUAUUUUGGGAUUUGUUUUUUCAUUGAGUUUCAUAUUUGUUAGAUAAAUCGGUUUGUAUUUUAUUUUGCAGAAAUGGAUUUAUAUCAUACACAAAGCACACAAAUAUAUAUAUUUCUUUGCAA
rnacentral:lncRNA from 10 species